rnacentral:rRNA from 1 species
GAUGAACGCUAGCUACAGGCUUAACACAUGCAAGUCGAGGGGCAGCACAGUGUAGCAAUACAUGGGCGGCGACCGGCGCACGGGUGCGUAACGCGUAUCCAACCUUCCCGUUACACAGGGAUAGCCUUCCGAAAGGGAGAUUAAUACCUGAUGGUGUUUGAAUUCCGCAUGUUAUUCAAACUAAAGAUUUAUCGGUAACGGAUGGGGAUGCGUGACAUUAGGUAGAUGGCGGGGUAACGGCCCACCAUGCCUACGAUGUCUAGGGGUUCUGAGAGGAAGGUCCCCCACACUGGAACUGAGACACGGUCCAGACUCCUACGGGAGGCAGCAGUGAGGAAUAUUGGUCAAUGGUCGGAAGACUGAACCAGCCAAGUAGCGUGAAGGAUGAAGGUUCUAUGGAUUGUAAACUUCUUUUAUACGGGAAUAACACCAUCUACGUGUAGAUGCCUGCAUGUACCGUAUGAAUAAGCAUCGGCUAAACUCCGUGCCAGCAG